rnacentral:rRNA from 1 species
UACGAAGGGUGCAAGCGUUAAUCGGAAUUACUGGGCGUAAAGGGUGCGUAGGCGGUUCGUUAAGUCUGUCGUGAAAUCCCCGGGCUCAACCUGGGAAUGGCGAUGGAUACUGGCGAGCUAGAGUGUGUCAGAGGAUGGUGGAAUUCCCGGUGUAGCGGUGAAAUGCGUAGAGAUCGGGAGGAACACCCGUGGCGAAGGCGGCCAGCUGGGCCGACCCUGACGCUGAGGCGCGAAGGCGUGGGGAGCGAACGGG